rnacentral:lncRNA from 1 species
AGAAACCCUAACCUUAAGUAUUUUUUCUUUUCUCCCUAUUCUUUCUCUUUUCCUCCCUCUAACGGCGUCCAAUCCUCAGCCAUCGUCUCUCUGUUCCUCCUUCCGACCAGCCAUCAUCUCUCUCUUCCUCCUUCUGGCCAGCCAUCGUCUCUCUCUUCCUCCGCUCCCCAGCGAUGACCAGCCCGAGGGACAGGUAAUUUUUCUUUUCUCCCAAUUUUGUUUCGAUUGUUGUUGCUUCUUUUAGAUUUUCGUCCCAAUUUUGUUUAGGUUGUUGCUGCUUCUUUCAAUGGUUGCAUUUUGUUUGCCUUUUUCUCUAUUAUUUUCUGAAUUAUUUAGAGGAAUUUAAAACACUGAUAGCUCAAGUGUUGGUUAUAAAUCCUGCUUUGAAUGAAGUAGUAGUACUAGUAAGGGGAAAAGAUUCGUGGAGAACAUUAGAAAUCUUGGUUAGAUUCGUGGAGUGCACAUUUGUGUUCUCUCGUUUUUAAUUUUUUUUUCUUUCUAAUUUUCCAGUUUUCUCUCGUGGAGUGCACAUCGUCUCUCUCUUCCUCCUUCCGACCAGCCAUCGAAACUGAAGGAGUCCAAGAAUAGGUACGGUUUUGAAUACUCAAUUAGUUAAAAUGCAUUUAGUCGGUUCAUAUGUCAAACAUGGUCAAACUUUUGAAUCACAUUAAUAUUUACUAUCUAAAUAAUAUAAAUAUAAUCCGUUAACACUUUAUUUUGUAAUACAAAUAAUGAAUACACUAACAUAUACUAUAACAAGCUAUAUAUAGUUAAAAUGCAUUCCUCUCGUCCUCCCCGUGAUCGUUCCUCUAGUCCGACCCGUGAUCGUUCUUCACGUCCUCCACAAGGCCGUUCUCUAUACCGUCUUGUAGAUGAAAGUUCAUCAAAUGGUGAUGAUGUUGUAGAAAACACCCCUUGACCAAUACUUUGAUAUACUUUGAACUAGAGUAACAGAACUAGUUUUGAAUUAGAUUGAACAAUUUUGAACUUGUUGUACGUACUUAGUUUUUGCUUGCUUUUGGAUUGUGAUGUUUAAUUGAACUUUAAUUUGUUAGUUUUAAAGUAUUAAUUGGAUGUUUGGUUGUUGUUGUUGGAUAUUUGGUUGGAUUUGUGGUGAAUUAGGGGUUGUAUGUGAUGAAUUGGUGGUUAUUAGAUGUGAAUUGGGGGUAUUGGUAUGCUGUUUUUAUUUGGCAGGUGGUGUAGCUACCAAAACAGGCAUUUUCUGCCAAAAUUAAUCCCAGAAAACUGACCAACCUUGGUCGGUGACUAAUAAAAAAAAAAUUUAAAUUGUAAAUUACCGACCAAUAUUGGUCGGUUAAUGCACAUUGAAUUUUCAGAAAUUCAACAUUACCGACCAACUUUGGUCGGUAAGUUGUCUGCCCUGUCCAGAUUACCGACCAACGUUGGUCGGUAUUUUUAAAUUUUAAUUAUUUAUAAAAAAAUAUAAAAUUAAUAAAUUUAAAACGCCUACCAACGUUGGUCGGUAAAAUUAAAUUAUUAAAAUAAUAUUCCGACCAAUAUUGGUCGGUAAGUCAAUUAAAUCGUCAGAUGGUCGUGUAGAGCAUACCGACCAAUGUUGGUCGGUAAUUUCCGAUCAACUUUGGUCGGUAUGCUCUUCCGACCUUCAAACUACCGACCACACGUUAAUGGUCGCGUUUUAGAUGGUUAUUGGCCAUUACCGACCGACUUUGAUCGGUUUUUCCGAAUUUGUAGUAGUGUUAGAUUAACCAUAAUAAUAACUAUCUAAACAAAAGUUUCCAACAUGCUUCCUAGAACAAUGUUAUGAUAAACCCAAGUAUCAUAACAUCCACUAAAGACCAUUCACUCAAUAAAUUAAAUAUUCACCUGGCAAGAAAUACACACGAGGAUUUGAAAAAACCAAUAUGUUUAAGGAGUAAAACUCAUAUGUGCAAAUCGAUUUUAUCAACAAAGUAUUCCAAUCCACCUUGCAAAUCAAGACUCAAUAUUCUGCAUGAUAAAGGAAAUACGAAAGGUUGACCAAACAUUCAUUAAGCCCAAGUAUCUCUAGAGCAUGCAUCAAAUUGAACACUCGAUCUUGUGGUAGAGCCAAGCAUAUCCAAAAUCAAGAAAGAGCAUCUCUCCAAAUGAAGUAGCAAUUACUUGGUUCAAAAGAAAACUGUCACGACCCAAAAUCUCACCUGUCGUGGUGGCGCCUAUCUCAAUACUAGGCAAGCCGAUAAUCUUAAUAAACCACCAUAUCUUUUAAGUUUGAAAACAUGAUAAUUAAAUUCAGCGGAAGAAAUCUCACAAAUACAAAUAUAACACUCGCAAAACCCGCUGUCACAGAGUACAUGAGCAUCUAAUAUAAAUACAAUGUCUGACUGAUAAAAACCACUGUCUGAAAGUGUAGAACAGUACAAUAACUGAAGGAAAGAGAGACAAGGUCAGCAGACGCCAGGUAGCUACCCUGAUAGUCUCCAACUGGUAACACACUGAGGUCCAACAGCCGCCGUGUCCGGAAGCACCUGGAACUGCACACAAGGUGCAGAGUGUAGUAUGAGUACAACCAACUCAAUAAGUAACAAAACUAACCUCUGGGCUGAAAGUAGUGACGAUCUCCGCAGGUACAGUCUGGUAUAAAUAAUGGUACAAAAAUGUAGGCAUGCUUUCAAGUUCAACAGUAAAAUUCAGUACAAGUGAAAUAGAUCAAUAUUGCAUGAUAUGAGGAAUAUGACAUCUCAGUAAAAAGACCUCAUGUAAAUACUGGUCACAAAUUAUUCGGUCACUCGGUAUAGUUUAUGGCCAAUCCAGCUCAGGGGUGUUCCAACCCGUAUGUAAAUACACAUCGACUAACAGUCAGUCACUCAGUACCGUAUAAGGCCAAUCCAGCCCUGGGAUAAUUUUAUCCCCAAAUAUAACUGAUACGGACAAGAUCCAUGUCCAGGUAAACUCAUUACAAUACAAAUAAGUAAGGCAAGUCCAUGCCCUGGGAAAUCCAUCCCGAAUAUAUAUAAUCAUCUAAGUAAGGCAAGCCCAUGCCCUGGGAAGUUCAUCCCGAAUAUAUAUAAUCAUCUACGCUCACUGGGGGUGUACAGACUCCGGAGGGGCUCCUUCAGCCCAAGCGCUAUAUAAAGCCAAUAUGGCCUACUGCAGGCGGGCAGUCCUGAUACGUAUAAUAGUAAAGCCUAUAAGGCCUGCUGCAGGUGGGCAACCCCGAUCCAUAAAACAGUAAAGCCUAUAAGGCCUGCUGCAGGUGGGUAGCCCCGAUCCAUAUAAUAGUAAUGUAUAAAGCCAUUAUGGCCUGCUGCGUCGCGCAGCUCAAUCCCAUAAAUAUCCUCACAAUGGAUAAAUAUUACUGAGUGUGAAAUGUAUAUUUUUGAACAAUUAAUUCAACAGCAACACGACCCCAUGGGUCCCAAAAUAUUGGUAUGUAGCCUAAACAUGAUCUUUAAUAGGAGCCUCAGCUCAAUUUCUCUAACACGUGGAGAAUGUUCAGAUAAUAACAUGAUUCAUUAAUCUUACAACUGUACAGGAUUUAUUCAAGACACAAUUUAUAUGGUGCACGUCCACAUGCUCGUCACCUAUAGUGUGUGUCACCUCCAAACAAUUUAUAUCAUACCAAAUUCAGGGAUUCAUACCCUCAGAACCAAGUUUAGAAGUGUUACUUACCUCAAACCGUGUAAUUCUUUACUCCGAUAUGCCUUUGCCUUGUGAAUUGGCCUCCAAACCCCUCGAAUCUAGCCACAAUUAAUUCGAUUCAGUCAAUAAAAUUUAUUGAAAUUAAUUCCAUAAGAAAAUACUAAUUUUCCAUAAAAAUCUGAAAAUUAUCUCAAAAAUCGCCUGUAGGGCCCACAUCUCGGAACUCGACAAAAGUUACAAAAUCCGAAAGCCCAUUCAACCACGAGUCUAACCAUACCAAUUUUACCAAAAUCCGACCUCAACUCAACUAUCAAAUCUUCAAUUUAAACUAAAAGGGUUUUCUAAAUGUUUCAACUUAAUUCACCCAUUAAAUGAUGGAUUCAAAGACAUAAUCAUGAAAAUUAAUCAAAACUGGAUAAGAAUCACUUACCCCAAACACCCACGCAAGAAUCUCUUCAAAAAUCGCCUUCUACCGAGCUCCCAAUUUGAUUUUGUGUUAUGAACUCAAAACCUCCGUUUUGGAACUUUUAAUUCUGCCCAGAAAUUCCUGCAUCGCAUUCGCGAAGCACAAAAAAAUGUGCUGCCAAGAUUCCUUCUUCGCGUUCGCGAUAUCCUCAUCGCGUUCGCGAUGCCUUCAGACCUCUGCCCUUCGCGUUUGCGAGACACGAGAUGCGUUCGCGAAGGCUUAAUUCCAGGCAGGCCCCUAACUCCCUUUCCUCUUCGCGUUUGCGUCUGCCCACUCGCGUUCGCGUAGGCUUUCCCCAGUUCCCUUCUUCGCGUUCGCGUCUUCUUCAUCGCGUUCGCGAUGGGCAAAUCUCAGUCUUCAGAAAUCCUUCUUCGCGAACGCGUGAGACCCUUCGCGUUCGCGAGGAACAAUACCAUAUAUCAGUUCCAGCAAUUGCAAAACAAGGAAAAAUGAUCUGAAACCGUCCCAGAACUCACCCGAGGCCCCUGGGACCUCAACUAAAUAUACCAACAAGUCCUAAAACAUCAUACGAACUUAGUCGAACCCUCAAAUCACUUCAAAUAAUGCUAAAACUCUAAAUUACACCCCAAUUCAAGCCUAAUGAACUUUGAAAUUUCUAAUUUCUACAAACGACGCCGGAACCUAUCAAAUCAUGUCCGAUUGACCUCAAAUUUUACACACAAGUCAUAAAUGACAUAACGGAGGUAUUCAAAUUUUGAGAAUUGGAUUCUGACCCCGAUAUAAAAAAGUCGACCCCUGGUCAAACUUUUCAAAAAUUCAAAUUCGGCAUUUCAAGCCUAAUUCCACUACGAACCUCCAAUUAAUUUUUCGGACACGUUCCUAAGUCCAAAAUCACCAUACGGAGCUAUUGGAAUCAUCCGAAUUCAAUUCCGAGGUCGUUUACUUAUAAGUUAAUAUCCGGUUAACUUUUCCAACUUAAGUUUUCAUUUAUGAGACUAAGUGUCUCAUUUCACUCCGAAAUCCUUCCGGGCCCGAACCAACUAAUCCGAUAAGUCAUAAAUCAAUUGUAAGGCAUAAAUUGAGCAGUAAAUAGGGGAACGGAGAUGAAAUACUCAAAACGAUCAGUCGGGUCGUUAUAUUCUCCCCCACUUAAACAUGCGUUCGUCCUCGAACGUGUCAAGAGUUGUUUCCAAGCCACCAAAUCACUAUUCCAUCUUACCACGCACGUACCCGGGGUGAUCCCAUGUUAUCAUAUUCUGUGUAAAUUGUAUAGGCCUGACAACACAACAUAAUUGAAAAUCAUUACUUCAAUCUUAGCCCAUAAACCUUGGAAUUCAAUUUCCAACAUUCAGAAUUUCUUUUCAAGACCUGAAUCUCACAUCAACACACUGUAUGAGUCUGAACAAGCUGUACCAUGCCAUAACCCUAGCCCCAGAUAUAAUCACUUAACAUACUACACAACUUGCAUACUUGCAGCACCAUUUUCGAUCAUAUUAACUACUCCAAAGUAACCCGGUAAUAGUAUUAAACCCCAUAUCAAACAAAACCUAGUUCUAAAACCUUCGUACACUGCUAAUAAUGAAAGAAACACGAGAAAUCUCAUAACAUCUUAUCAGAUCGACAAGUCAUGGAGCUCUCCCGCCCCAACCAGAACCAUAAUCACUUUCUAAGUCGACCUUCAAUAAUAUCCUCCCUAUAUACCGUAAUGAAACCUGAUAGUAUCCAUUCUAGGUCCAAUAACCUUAUAUUAUUAAACACAACUAUCCCAUUGACAUGCCACACCAAUACAACUCAAUCCAUAACUGCGCAACCUUGUACCCAUAAUGGAAGAUGUCUCAAAGUAGAGAAUCGUAUUGUAAGUUCAACAAGCACCACCACAACUGUAAUGCUAUAAGCUCAUUAUAUAUAGUAGAACCAAGACACACAAAUUUAAUAACAGUAACCAACUCUUUUAGAGCUCACAUUAACAUCACUCGCACGGACAACUCACGUGCUAUAGUAUCAAUAUCUGAACCCGCACGGAGAACUUACGUGCCAAUAAUAUCAAUAAUUUGAAUAUCAACAGUCUAUCAACCAGGAGAGUACCGUAAUACCAAUGCACAUCCGUAAAUCAAAACACAAUGUCCCUUUCAACCGCACACCCUUAUCAGGGAUUACCGAGCAACUAUAACAUUCAUCUAAAUAUAUAACACUAACCAUUCCGUCCAGAAUUUGUGAUCUUCCUUUCAAGAAUGAACUGCCACCUCGCGCAUAUAAAUCUAAAUCCCGCACAACACACCACAUCUAUCACGUGAAAAGCACAAGAAUCUCAUUAUAAACUCUGAGUCACCAGCAAAUUACAUACCCUAUUAGUUGGAAACUUUUCUCUUGCUUCUUUCCCGGAGGAAAUCACAAUGCACAACACGUUCCCCACACCGGUAGAAAAUAUCUUGUUCCAACCAUGGUAGAAACCAUUAAGAACACUUUGAAAUCCAUUUUCACCAAAUCAAGCUAUCAGAACUAAUUUCUUCUAUCUCAUCCAAGCCACGCUGGUCACCAAAACCCAAAAAUACUGCCAUCAAAACAUCUAUAAAGCCUCCACAUCAUUAUUACCCAAAAGAACUGAGCAUGCCAUUACCAUACUGGUCUAGCCUACAACCCAGUGGUCCUAUUUUCUUGGAGGUUCUCCUGAAUUACCCUCAAGUUGACAUUUCUCCUUAUCAGAACACUACUACCCUUAUCCAAAGCUCACUAUAAGACAUCCCAACAUAAAACUACACCGUUCUAAGGUCCAUAAGUCAUCGUAUUCUUCUUAAGCACCACAAAAGUACCACAACCGUAACACUCACUCUGAAAAUACCUUAUAUGAAUUUAAAAUUGUUCUUUUUCCCUUCUUAUACUGGAAUGUGGAAUCCAUAGUCAUACAGAAUUACUGCAAGUCCCGUACCAUCUAGUGUAAUAACCAAUUCUGGCGAUAUACAAAUUCCGAAAAAUUUUCAAUUGACACAUAUACAUUUUGAAUCCAUUAUAUCCCUUUCGAAAGUCACCCACUAUGCUCAAAUCUAAAUUGCACCGUCCGAAAGAGCCACAAGACAUAAGCCCCCAUUAGCACAACAACCCCCAAAGAGUAACCCUAUCUUAACACCACCAAUCAAAUUCAUACUCUGUGCGUACUACAUCCUUCAAAAUAACAAUUUAAUCAUCUCAUGAUUUUUUUCCCAUAAAGUGCAAUAUAACCCGCAUUCAAGAAAUUUUCUUACUCAAGUCAUCCUCGAUCUCAACCUCUGCAAGUCAUAACUAAUCCACAAGUGUACCUCGGAACGAAACCAAUACAGUACAUAAUCGCGCAAUCAAAUCGUAGAUAGCAGACUCCCCCACUUGGUCCAAAUCCAUAUAACAAAAUAUCUGAUAUCUCACCAUACCCAGAUAAUAUCCAAAUUGACCAUACUAAGCAAUAAAAGAUCAACUCUGGUUUCGUCCCCCAAUAAUUUCCACACACGACCGAUACACCCGGUACACAAUUAUAGUAUCGCCCACCGGUGUAGAUACAUGAACAGGUGAAACUAAGGACUCACGAGACAUAUCCAGAAAAUGAACAAAAUAUGAUGAAACAUACGAAUAUGUGGAACCAGGGUCAAAUAAUAUAGAUGCCUCCCUGUAGCACACUGAGACAAUACAUGUGAUCUCUACAUCUGAAGCAACAACAUCUGGUCUGGCAGGAAAAGCAUAGAAUCGGCCCUGACCGCCACUGGAUCGGCCUCCCUCUCUUGGGCGACCUCUAGCUGAUUGAGUCCCACCCCGAGCUGGCUGAGCGGGUGGUGGAGCAACUGAUGCAGAUGUAGUAGCCUGACUCCUCUGUUGAAAUGGACCUCGCGUAUGGCGGGGGCAAUAUUUCCUCACAUGGCCCAGCUCUCCACACUCAUGGCACUCCAUCUCGAAGAAUGAUGGUGAGUUCUGAGGCGGACCUCGGGAACCAGAAUAACUACCAGAAGGACCUGUUACAUAUGAUCCCUAAAUUGAUGGUGCACGGAGCGUACUCGAGGCUGGAAGGGCAUUGAGAGCUGACUUACUCUGAUGAGAACUGUAUGAACCACGGCUGGAUGAUGCACCACGGUGAACUGGACGACCCCUGUUGUGGUAGAACUGCCCUCCAGAAGGUACCCCACCAAAACUGCCCGAACCUCGAGGCCUCUUAGCCUCCCUGUCACCACGCUCCUGGCUACGGACCAUCUCUAUCUGUCGAGCAAUGUCAACCACCUCGUCAAAAGUGGCACCGGAUACCCUCUCCCUAGUCAUAAGUAACCGCAGUUGAUACGUGAGGCCAUCAAUGAACCUCCUAAUCCUCUCCCUAUCAGUGGACACCAACCAAACUACGUGACGAGCCAACUCAGAAAAUCUCAUCUCGUAAUGCAUCACGGACAUGCCAUCUUGACGUAACUGCUCAAACUGUCUGUGCAGCUCCUCUCUACGAGACUGUGGCACAAACUUCUCUAAAAAGAGAAUGGAGAACUCCCGCCAUAUAAGUGGUACUGCACCAAUCGGCAUGCGCCUCUCAUAAGCCUUCCACCUUCUGAAGGCAACCCCAAAAAACUAAAAAGUAGUGAACGAGACUCCACUGGUCUCUAGAAUACCUGUUGUCCGAAGCAUCCACUGGCACUUAUCCAGAAAACCCUGAGUAUCCUCUGACUCAGCACCGCUAAAUGAUGGAGGUCGAAGCCUCCAAAAUCUCUCAAGUCUUCUCUGCUCAUCAUCUGCCUUAACAGGGAUUACCGGGGCCUGAGCGACUGCAACUGGCUGGGCUGGUAGUGCCCCCGGUAUCUGAAGUCCCUGUACUACCUGGUCUGGAGUACGGGCAACAGGGGUAUGAGUACCUCCCCCGGCCUGAGAAGUGGCAGGUGCGGCCUGAGCCGAAACCUCCUGAGCAAGGCCAGUACAAACUCUCAAUAUAUGGGCUAGAGCCUCCUGAAGGCCUGGAAUCACAAUAGGUGUAGCUGGUGCCUGAGCUGGUCCCGCCGGCUCAACUGUAUCCGAAAUAUGCUCCUGAACUGGAGCAACUGGUGGUACUACAGGUGCUGCUUCAACUGCUGCACGAGCUAUACCUCGACCUCUACCUCGGCCACGACCUCUACCACGGCCCCGGCCUCUCGCGUCCCUAACUGGUGGCACUAGUGGCUGACCGUCCAAUCCAGUAAUACGUGUCCUCACCAUAUGUGAGAGAAUAGAAUAACAGGACUUUUAGUUUCCGGAAUCAACAAGUUCGCAUGACUGAAUACAAUAAAGUAAAAUUUUCUAAGGGUCCGGCAGCCUCUCGUAGAUAAGUACAGACGUCUCUGCACCGAUCCGCAAGACCCUACUAAACCUUCUCAUGACUCGUGAGACCUAUGUAACCUAGGCUUUGAUACCAACUUGUCACGACCCAAAAUCUCACCUGUCGUGAUGGCGCCUAUCUCAAUACUAGGCAAGCCGACAAUCUCAAUAAACCACCAUAUCUUUUAAGUUUGAAAACAUGAUAAUUAAAUUCAGCGGAAGAAAUCUCACAAAUACAAAUAUAACACUCUCAAAACCCGGUGUCACUGAGUACAGGAGCAUCUAAUAUGAAUACAAUGUCUGACUGAUAAAAAUCACUGUCUGAAAGUAUAGAACAGUACAAUAACUGAAGGAAAGAGAGACAAAGUCAGCGGACGCCAGGCAGCUACCCUGAUAGUCUCCAACUGGUAACAUACUAAGGUCUAAUAGCCGCCGUGUCCGGAAGCACCUGGAUCUGCACACAAGGUACAGAGUGUAGUAUGAGUACAACCAACUCAAUAAGUAACAAGACUAACCUCUGGGCUGAAAGUAGUGACGAGCUCCGCAGGGACAGUCCAGUAUAAAUAAUGGUACUAAAAUGUAGACAUGCUUUCAAGUGCAACAGUAAAACUCAGUACAAGUGAAAUAGAUCAAUACUGCAUGAUAUGAGGAAUAUGACAUCUCAGUAGAAAGACCUCAUGUAAAUACUGGUCACAAAUUACUCGGUCACUCGGUACUGUUUAUGGCCAAUCCAGCCCAGGGGUGUUCCAACCCGUAUGUAAAUACACAUCGACUAACAGUCAGUCACUCAAUACCGUAUAAGGCCAAUCCAGCCCUGGGAUAAUUUUAUCCCCAAAUAUAAUUGAUACGGACAAGAUCCAUGUCCAGGUAAACUCAUUAUAAUACAAAUAAGUAAGGCAAGUCCAUGCCCUGGGAAAUCCAUCCCGAAUAUAUAUAAUCAUCUAAGUAAGGCAAGUCCAUGCCCUUGGAAGUCCAUCCCGAAUAUAUAUAAUCAUCUACGCUCACUAGGGGUGUACAGACUCCGGAGGGGCUCCAUCAGCCCAAACGCUAUAUAAAGCCAAUAUGGCCUACUGCAAGCGGGCAGUCCCGAUCCGUAUAAUAAUAAAGCCUAAAGGUCUGCUACAGGCGGGCAUCCCUGAUUCAUAAAAUAGUAAAGCCUAUAAGGCCUGCUGCAGGCGGGUAGUCCCGGUCCAUAUAAUAAUAAUGUAUAAAGUUAUUAUGGCCUGCUGCGUCGCGCAGCUCAAUCCCAUAAAUAUCCUCACAAUGGACAAAUAUUACUGAGUGUGAAAUAUAUACUUUUGAACAAUUAAUUCAACAGCAACACGACCCCAUGGGUCCCAAAAUAUUGGCACGUAGCCUAAACAUGAUCUUUAGUAGGAGCCUCAGCUCAAUUUCUCUAACACGUGGAGAAUGUUCAGAUAAUAAUAUGAUUCAUUAAUCUUACAACUGCACAGGAUUUAUUCAAGGCACAAUUUAUAUGGUGCACGUCCACAUGCUCGUCACCUAUCAUGUGUGUCACCUCCAAACAAUUUAUAUCAUACCAAAUUCGGGGAUUCAUACCCUCAGAACCAAGUUUAGAAGUGUUACUUACCUCAAACCGUGUAAUUCUUUACUCCGGUAUGCCUUUGCCUCGUGAAUUGGCCUCCAAACCCCUCGAAUCUAGUCACAAUUAAUUCGAUUCAGUCAAUAAAAUUUAUUGGAAUUAAUUCCAUAAGAAAAUACUAAUUUUCCAUAAAAAUUCGAAAAUUAGCUCAAAAAUUGCUUGUGGGACCCACGUCUCGGAACUCGAUAAAAGUUAUAAAAUCCGAAAGCCCAUUCAACCACGAGUCUAACCAUACCAAUUUUACCAAAAUCCGACCUCAACUCGACCCAAAAAUCUUCAAUUUAAACCAAGAGGGUUUUCUAAAUGUUUCAACUUAAUUCACCCAUUAAAUGAUGGAUUCAAAGACAUAAUCAUGGAAAUUAAUCAAAACUCGAUAAAAAUCACUUACCCCAAACACCCACGCAAGAAUCUCUCCAAAAAUCGCCUUCUACCGAGCUCCCAAUUUGAUUCCCCGUUUUGGAACUUUUAAUUCUGCCCAGAAUUUCCUUCAUCGCGUUCGCGACCAUAGAUUCGCGUUCGCGAAGCACAAAAAAAAUGUCCUGCCAAGAUUCCUUCGCGUUCGCGAUAUCCUCAUUGCGUUCCCGAUGCCUUCCGAUCUCUGCCCUUCGCGUUCGCGAGACACGAGACGUGUUCGCGAAGGCUUAACGCCAGGUAGGCCCCCAACUCCCUUUCCUCUUCGCGUGUGCAUCUGUCCACUCACGUUCGCGUAGGCUUUCCCCAGCUCCCUUCUUCGCGUUCGCGUCUUCUUCAUCGCGUUCGCGAUGGGCAAAUCUCAACCGUCCAAAAUCCUCCUUCACGAACGUGUGAGACCCUUCGUGUUCACGAAGAACAAUACCAGAUAUGAGUUCCAGCAGUUGCAAAACAAGGAAAAAUGAUCCGAAACCGUCUCGGAACUCACCCGAGGCCCCCGGGACCUCAACCAAAUAUACCAACAAGUCCUAAAACAUUAGAUGAACUUAGUUGAACCCUCAAAUCGCCUCAAACAAUGCUAAAACCAUGAAUUACACCCCAAUUCAAGCCUAAUGAACUUUGAAAUUUCUAAUUUCUACAAACGACGCCGGAAUCUAUCAAAUCAUGUCCGAUUGACCUCAAAUUUUGUACACAAGUCAUAAAUGACAUAACAGAGGUAUUCAAAUUUUGAGAAUCGGAUUCCGACCCUGAUAUCAAAAAUUCAACUUUCGGCAUUUCAAGCCUAAUUCCAUUACGAACCUUCAAUUAAUUUUUCGAACACGCUCCUAAGUCCAAAAUCACCAUACGGAGCUAUUGGAAUUAUCAGAAUUCAAUUCCGAGGUCGUUUACUCAUAAGUCAAUAUCCGGUCAACUUUUUCAACUUAAGUUUUCAAUUAUGAGACUAAGUGUUUCAUUUCACUCCGAAAUCCUUCCGGGUCCGAACCAACUAACCGAUAAGUCAUAAAUCAAUUUUAAGGCAUAAAUUGAACAGUAAAUAGGGGAACGAGGAUGAAAUACCCAAAAUAACCGGCCGGGUCGUUACAAAAACCAUUAAACUAAUAGAUCUAAAUAUUAACGGCUAACUAAUUAAUAUUUUUUUUUCAUUCAACCCUUCUGAAUUGCACAUAUACUUCAGUUGGAAAUCAAUUACACAAGAAGUUAAGAGUACAUUAUACAAGGCAAAAAGUUAAGAUCCUUGAAAUAGCAAAUAUCUUUCAUUCACCAAGUGAGGUUUUUUCCCGGUAAAUGCAGAUGUCUACAAUAUGUUUUAGGAGCUAAUACAACUAUCACUAUUAAAUGCUUAGCUGAUGAAACCUUUAUGGGUUUAACCUAGCUAGAAUAUCCAAAUAAUUCCUCCAUGGUCCACCAUAUAGCUUUAAAUUCUGCAAGCAACCAGUUGAUUAUCGAAAAUACUUACGAAUCUACAAAACUAUACACAUAGGGUGUAAAAUAAAUUACUCAGUCAAUUCAGACUCUAAUGCAUUGUCUGUGAGCAUAAAGUAUCGGCAAUACCUGUAUCGGCCAGAGGCAUUAUCUCAAAACAUCUCAUAGUUCACGUAGAAUGAUACAACAAUGGGCACCACAUAGGGUUCAGUCUCUUUCAUGUCCCUCCUCCCCCUGCAUAUUAUUCUCAUUGUCAUCCUCAAUCCCUUCAUACGACCCUAUUCCUUCACCCACAAAAGAAAUUCAAGUGAAAAUUUUUUAAGUGGUUUAUAGUCCCAUUCGUAAAGCCAUAUAAUUUUGCAUUCAGUUGAAGAUUAAUUACUUUAUUGUGUCUUGGUACUUUAUUUCGUUUCCCAAGCACAGUCCUUCCCCGUUGAUUCUCUAGAUCAUUCUGAAAAAUUCAGUAAAUCUUUCAUCUUUUCUUUUCUAUUAAAUAUGUGAAAAACUAUAAAGUGUGGCAAGAGAAUGAUAUGAAUUACCAGAUUUCGGAAUCAAAAAGAAUGAACAAAAAACUUCAGAGUAAUAUUGCACAAAAGAGAAGUACGGUGUAUGUUCUACCAUGUCUCUAACCGCCACCCUCAAUAGCCACCAACGCGAAUAUAACCCAUACCCUAUAUUGAUUAUCGAAACACCAUUAUAUAAUGGCUUAGAGUAACGAUCAAGUACACUAUGGAAUGGUUGCAACUGUUAAUAUUGCAUAUUAAAAGCACAAACAAUUAUGUAUAUGCUUUAAUCAUCUAUAGAUGGAAACUUUUUAGUUUUUGUAACUGAUGAACCAAACAUACAACCAAGAGAUCAUGCAUAAUAGUAUGGUAACAUGAUCUAUGAUACAAUAACAGUGUAAUUUAGAACUUACGGUGCAAAUGUAUGAAGAUACCAUGCUUUUUGUAGAAAAAGACAGACUUUUGCUUUUUCUUUUUUAAUAAGAUAAAUAAAGAUAAAGACACAUACUUUCAAUACAUUAAGUGAUGAAUUGAAUAUAACGACUACAGAUCAUGCAGAACACUAUAUUAACUUCAGCUUUAAUGGAGAACAUUGUUACCCAGGAUAUACAGUGAAAAGAAAUAAAGAACAGUGCAGUAAUGUAACGACCCGAUCGAUCGUUUUACUUUGUCUAUCCAUGUUCCCCUAAUUAAGACUCGCCGUAUGUUCUUUUACUAUUUUAUGACUUACGGGGAUGGUUGGUUUGGGUUUGAAAGGGUUCAGGUUGAAAUCAGAACACUUAAUUCCUUAAUAGUGGCCUAAGAUGGCCAAGUUUGACUUGAGUCAACAUUUUGAGUAAAUGACCUCGGAACCGGGAUUUGAUGGUUCCAAUAGCUUCGUAUGAUAAUGUUGGACUUGGACGUACGUUCGGAUCGAGUUCUGGGUGAUCUGGGACCAUUUCGAUGCCUAAUGUUGAAAGUUGGCGCAUUGAAGGUUUUCUAGUUCUUUGAAUUUGGUUUGAAGUAGACUUCAUUGUUAUCGAGGCCUGUUUGGGAUUUCGAGCCUAGGAAUAGGUACAUAUGGUGAAUUAUGACUUGUACGCAAAAUUUGGUAUCAUUCCGAGUUGUCUAAGUAAGAUUCGACUCUUUCGGAGCUAAUUGAAAAGUUCGAAGUUCAUAAGUUGAUUUAAUUUGGUUUUGGGGUGUGAUUCUUAGUUUCGAUGUUAUUUUAAGUAUUUCGAGAGUUCGAUCAGGUCCGUAUUAUGUUUAUGGACUUAUUGGUGAAGCUGGACAGGGUCUCGAGUGGCUCGAGUGAAUUUCGGACCACCCGGAGCUAACUCUGAAAUUCUGCUGCUGAUGGUUCUGGUUUCCUUCUUCGCAAACACGGAGGUGGAGUCGCGUUCACGGAGAAGGAAUUGGGGGACUAGACAUUUUGCUCUUCGCGUUCGCAAUCCACAGGUCACGUUCGUGAAGGUCUGGGACAUGUGGCAUUCGCGUUCCCGUGAGUGCGCCCGCGUUCGCGUAGAGGAAAGGGGCCUAGGAGGGGUCAACAACCAUUACCCUUCGUGUUCGUGAAGGUAUCAUCGUGUUUGCGAUGCUCAGGCGGGGCAAGCCUUCGCGAUCGCGAUACCGCUCUCGCGUUCACAAUGAAGAUUUUCAGGGCCUGGACAAGAUUUGCCUUCGCGAUUGCGAGGCCCUUUUCGCUAUCGCGAAGAAGGGUCAACUGGGCAGAACCUUGUUUUAAAUCAGGACUUAGGCUUAUUUUCUCUCAUUUCACUUUGGGUUAGCCGAUUUUGGAGCUCUUGGAGAUGGGUUUUACACCUAGCAUUGUAAGGUAAGUAAUUACUACUUAAUAUGAGUUUAAUACACGGAUUAUGAGUAGAUUUUAACAUGUAGAUUGUGGAAAUUAUACGAUUUUGUUGAAAACCCUAGGUUUUGAUAAAAAUGGGAUUAGACCACAAAAAUGAUUAUGGAAUUGGAUAGAAAUUAUAUAUUUGUGUUCGUGAGGUUAUAUGGGUAACAUUUAUUUACGAAAAUUUCUGAAAUCCGGGCAUGUGGGCCCCGGGGGCGAAUAUUAGGAAUCUUCCAAUUUGGGUUGGGUAAUUACUCUAAUAGUUAAAUUAUAAACUUUUAAGCAUAUAUUGAUUAGUUUGUAAAAGCUUUGGCUAGUUUCGAAUUGCUCGACACCGAUUUUAGUCUAUUAGUGUGAAUUGUGGACCGGAAAGAGGACUCGGAAACGAGGUAAGUCUCUUGCCUAACCUUGUAAGAGGGAAUUAUCCCUGAAAGUGUUUUAAAUGGUUAUUUGCUAAUAAUUGUGGGUGCUACGUGCACACGAUGUGACGAGAGUCCGUACGUAGCUAAAAUCAUGCUUAUGUCCGGGCAGAUUUAGAACUCUACUAUGUAUUACUUGUAUUGUUUGUACCCAACUUGUUGGUUUAUUUACCUAAAUUUAUAAUUGAAAUUGGAUAAAGGAUUUUAAAGGACUGAGCUUUAUUACUUUGAGUUUUGGCGGAAUACUUGAUUGUUAGUGGAAAUUAUGCCUUCUUUGAGUAUUAAUCCUUUGUAGUAGUCAUUGAUCAAAGUUUGUAGAGUUUUCUUUAUUCCUGUGGAUCGGGCCGAAUGCCUCGACAGUAUAUAUGAUGCAUCUAUGGUUCGCGCUAGUCGAACCUAGACAGUGUACAGAUUAUUCUGGAUCGAGUCGUACGAUCUCGGCAUAAACCGUGUGUGAUAUUGCUCGGAGUCCGAUUAUACUUGAUAGUUCUUCUUGAUCUGAGGCUAGAAAAUUACUUGGUGGUUCUUAUGUGUUAAAUACUUGACUUGUGAUAGUUAGACACUUUAAAUUGAUAUUAUGUUUAAGAAUUAUAAAUUACUGUUUCUUAUCUCACUAUUAUUGUUGUAUUUCAUGCCUAAUUAUGAUUUAUAUACUUUAUUAAUUGACCCUUAGUAAGUGUCGAUGUCGACCCUCCGUCACUACUUCCNNN